UAAGAUGUCUAUGGCUUCAGCGGUAUC
rnacentral:piRNA from 1 species